GAUGAACGCUGGCGGCGUGCCUAAUACAUGCAAGUCGAGCGAACAGACGAGGAGCUUGCUCCUCUGACGUUAGCGGCGGACGGGUGAGUAACACGUGGAUAACCUACCUAUAAGACUGGGAUAACUUCGGGAAACCGGAGCUAAUACCGGAUAAUAUAUUGAACCGCAUGGUUCAAUAGUGAAAGACGGUUUUGCUGUCACUUAUAGAUGGAUCCGCGCCGCAUUAGCUAGUUGGUAAGGUAACGGCUUACCAAGGCAACGAUGCGUAGCCGACCUGAGAGGGUGAUCGGCCACACUGGAACUGAGACACGGUCCAGACUACUACGGGAGGCAGCAGUAGGGAAUAUGCCGCAAUGGGCGAAAGCAUGACGGAGCAACGCCGCGUGAGUGAUGAAGGUCUUCGGAUCGUAAAACUCUGUUAUUAGGGAAGAACAAAUGUGUAAGUAACUAUGCACGUCUUGACGGUACCUAAUCAGAAAGCCACGGCUAACUACGUG
rnacentral:rRNA from 1 species